rnacentral:tRNA from 1 species
CCGUUUGUAGUCCAAUCGAUUAGGCUAAUUGCCUUCCAAACAAUAGAUCCGGGUUUGACUCCCGGCAGAUGCA